rnacentral:lncRNA from 1 species
CCCSSCCUUGUCCUUGGCGCGCGCGCGCGGCCGCUCGGGUCAGGACGAGAGGGCGCCCUACGCCACGCUAGCACGCUACGCGUAUGUGGACUCUGGACUGGACACACGCAUCGUACCGUAACAAGCGCACGAGUCGCCUAAAUACUCCUCCUCGCAGUAGACUUAGUAUACUGAGUACUGUACCCAGGUAGACUCUUGUGGUUGGACCCGGCCCGGGCUGGCGAAUUGUUUCUGUGCCGGCCAAUUGUCGGAUCUAGUUGGAGCGAGCGCGCUUCUCUGCAUCCAAAUGGCCAAGUUGCGCGCUCGCUCGCGCGGCGACGGCGGACGGACUUUCGGGAGCGGCGACGGGCUGACGGGGCUGACUUUCGCCGCCG